rnacentral:rRNA from 1 species
UACGGAGGGUGCAAGCGUUAUCCGGAUUCACUGGGUUUAAAGGGUGCGUAGGUGGGUUGGUAAGUCAGUGGUGAAAUCUCCAGGCUUAACUUGGAAACUGCCAUUGAUACUAUCAAUCUUGAAUACCGUGGAGGUUAGCGGAAUAUGUCAUGUAGCGGUGAAAUGCUUAGAUAUGACAUAGAACACCCAUUGCGAAGGCAGCUAACUACGCGAAUAUUGACGCUGAGGCACGAAAGCGUGGGGAUCAAACAGG